rnacentral:rRNA from 1 species
AGUGAACGCUGGCGGUAGGCCUAACACAUGCAAGUCGAACGGCAGCACAGUAAGAGCUUGCUCUUACGGGUGGCGAGUGGCGGACGGGUGAGGAAUACAUCGGAAUCUACUUUUUCGUGGGGGAUAACGUAGGGAAACUUACGCUAAUACCGCAUACGAUCUACGGGUGAAAGCAGGGGAUAUUCGCACCUUGCGCGAUUGAAUGAGCCGAUGUCGGAUUAGCUAUUUGGCGGGGUAAAGGCCCACCAAGGCGACGAUCCGUAGCUGGUCUGAGAGGAGGAUCGGCCACACUGGAACUGAGACACGGUCCAGACUCCUACGGGAGGCAGCAGUGGGGAAUAUUGGACAAUGGGCGCAAGCCUGAUCCAGCCAUACCGCGUGGGUGAAGAAGGCCUUCGGGUUGUAAAGCCCUUUUGUUGGGAAAGAAAAGCAGCAGGUUAAAACCCCGCUGUUCUGACGGUACCCAAAGAAUAAGCACCGGCUAACUUCGUG